rnacentral:tRNA from 1 species
UCUUAUUAGCUCAAUUGGUAGAGCAUAAUACUCCUAAUAUUAGGAUCCAAGUUCAAGUCUUGGAUAAGAGAU